rnacentral:rRNA from 1 species
AGAUUGAACGCUGGCGGCAUGCCUUACACAUGCAAGUCGAACGGCAGCACGGGAGCAAUCCUGGUGGCGAGUGGCGAACGGGUGAGUAAUACAUCGGAACGUGCCCAGUCGUGGGGGAUAACUACGCGAAAGCGUAGCUAAUACCGCAUACGAUCUACGGAUGAAAGCGGGGGAUCGCAAGACCUCGCGCGAAUGGAGCGGCCGAUGGCAGAUUAGGUAGUUGGUGGGAUAAAAGCUUACCAAGCCUUCGAUCUGUAGC